CUUUGUAAACUCCACCUUCUUCCCUUUUCAUCAACAACUUCUGCUGCUGAUUCUAGAACAUCUCUAGCAAGAGGAAAAGGACCUUGUUCUCAACCUAAUUUACUCUCUGGUUCUGUCUAAGAAGGUUCAACUGCGUUCAGGCUUUUGUAUAAGUUGUGAUAUCGUCUCCUUUCCCUUCUGUGAAAUUGCUGUGGUUUAGAAAUGUUCUUUUGUCUGAGAAUUCACUUGUGAUUGUUAUCACUAAGAACUAGAAAGCUCUACUUUAGGAACGUCGGGCCUAAGUGGCACCCCACCAACUCAGUGGCUACCCGGAAGAUCGUUGCGGCAACGAUGGCUGGUAACCAGAACUACCCUACCCUGACGGUGGCUAUGGUCAUGUGAAUAGUAGAGUAAAUUUGCUUUGUGGCUCUUAAUCUUUUUAUGGUUUACAUUUGCAUAAGAAUUACAUUUAUAUAUUUCUGUUAGCUGGUGCUUUUGUUUUUUAUCUACGUUUAGCUCUCGCAUUACAUUUUCGGUGUUACACCCUCUACUGGGAAUUCGCUCACUCCUUUUGUUUUGUUUUCCCCCCUCAUAGUACAAAGAGAAGUUGCAGCAGUAAGCCGGGCAGAGCUUAUGGAAAGCUGUUAGCGCUUGAAAGUUAGUAUUUGGGAUAAUUGGAGUUUAGUACUCAGGUUUGGACCAACACUAACAUUUGUCCAACGUUAGUGCUUGGUACCUGGACUGGACGUUGACUCGCGUUGACUAGUUCAAACAGUGAUGAUUUCUUCUCGAAUUAACACAACCAUCUUCAUGGCAGUGACACCAACAGACAUCUGGUAAUAUUCAGUCACAACUCAUCCCUGUUAUCGAUUUGCAGCUGCAACGGAGAGUACGGGGAAGAAGAAGAAAAAGAAAACUGGAAAUAGAUAACAUGGGGUUCUAGGUUACUGAGAAUAAGCCCACUUCAAGGGUGUUUUUGGAGAAAUACACUUGUGUGGAAAAAGUUGCUCAAAAAGUGCUAUUUGGACUUCC